CAAGAAUUGAAAUGGCUUAUACUUGUGAUGAAACUGUAGUUGGUGAUCAAUCAGCAGCAACCAGAAGGCUGAGAAGUUGAGAACGUUCUGCUGUUGCAAAAUUUGGACCUAUAGGUGGCUGUUGCUUUCCAGUGGACGUUCCUGUUGCCAUGUUUAUGUCUUUGCAUGUGGCAUACUUGUGAGAUGAAGGAUGCGCAGAUAUAUCCUGGAGUCCUCUUGCAAAAUUAUCUGUUUCUUCAAUAUUUUGACC
rnacentral:misc_RNA from 1 species